rnacentral:rRNA from 1 species
GGUCAAGCUACUAAGGGCGCAUGGUGGAUGCCUUGGCACCAGGAGGCGAUGAAGGACGCGGUUAACUGCGAAAUGCCACGGGGAGUUGUAAUCAAGCGUCGAUCCGUGGAUAUCCGAAUGGGGCAACCCGGCGGCCGUAAUGGGCCGUCACCAACCACUGAAUACAUAGGUGGAAGGAGCCAACCCGGGGAAGUGAAACAUCUCAGUACCCGGAGGAAGAGAAAUCAACCGAGACUCCGCUAGUAGUGGCGAGCGAAUGCGGAUCAGCCCAAACCAUUGGGGUAACCCAAUGGGGUUGUGGGACCUCGACAUGAGACUGUAGAGGCUAGCAGAACGGCAUGGGAAGGCCGGCCAUAGCGGGUGAUAGCCCCGUACGCGAAAGCUGAAGCAGCUCUAGAGGUAUCCCGAGUAGGACGGGACACGUGGAAGCCCGUCUGAAUCUGGGGGGACCAUCCUCCAAGGCUAAGUACUCCCUGGUGACCGAUAGUGGACUAGUACCGCGAGGGAAAGGUGAAAAGAACCCCUGCGAGGGGAGUGAAAAGAAUCUGAAACCGUGCGUCUACAAGCAGACGAAGCACUAUGGCCUCUGGCAACGUGCGACGUCGUGCCUUUUGCAUAAUGAGCCAGCGAGUUAUGGUACGCGGCAAGGUUAAGACGUUAGUCGUAGCCGAAGCGAAAGCGAGUCUGAAUAGGGCGCUAAGUCGCGUGUUAUAGACCCGAAGCCCAGCGAUCUAUCCUUGAGCAGGCUGAAGCGUGGGUAAGACUGCGUGGAGGGCCGAACUCACCACAGUUGAAAAUGUGGGGGAUGACUUGAGGAUCGGAGUGAAAGGCUAAUCAAGCUGGGGAAUAGCUGGUUCUCGCCGAAAUAUAUUGAGGUAUAGGCUCGAUGGAUCUGCACUGGGGGUAGAGCACUGGAUGAGCUAGGGGGACCACAAUCUUACCGAACUCAACCAAACUCCGAAUACCGGUGACAGCAAGUCGGGACUCAGGCCGUGGGAGCUAAGUUUCACGGCCAAAAGGGAAAGAACCCAGACCAUCAGCUAAGGUCCCCAAUUCUUUGCUAAGUGGGAAAGGAUGUGGGAGCGCUUAGACAGCCAGGAGGUUGGCUUAGAAGCAGCCAUCCUUUAAAGAAAGCGUAACAGCUCACUGGUCGAGCGAACCUGCGCCGAAAAUUCAGCGGGUCUCAAGCAAAGAACCGAAGCUAUGGGUGUGCGCAAGCACGCGGUAGGCGAGUACUCUCUUCUGCGGUGAAGCCGUACGGUAACGAGCGGUGGAGCGUAGAGAGGAGCUAAUGCUGGCAUGAGUAGCGAUAAACAGGGUGAAAAACCCUGUCGCCGUAAGCCCAAGGGUUCCUGGGUAAAGAUAAUCUGCUCAGGGUUAGUCGGUCCCUAAGGUGAGGCCGAAAGGCGUAGUCGAUGGGAAGCAGGCGAAUAUUCCUGCACCAGCACGGAUAGUUCUACGAGGGGGGACGGAGGAAGAUAGCCGAGCCAUCUACUGGAUGGUGGUUCAAGCUCAUAGGCUGAGACUGUAGGAGGCAAUGGCCACAAACGCAGUCUCGAGGCCGAGGGGUGAUGAGGAGUGCCUUCGGGCGCAAAACUCGGUGAUUCUCGGCUUCCUGGAAAAGCCUCGCGUAGGUCAACUGCUGUGCUGACCGUACCGCAAACCGACACAGGUGGGUGGGAAGAAUAUUCCAAGGCGCUUGGGAGAACUCGGGUUAAGGAACUCGGCCAAUUGACACCGUAACUUCGGGAGAAGGUGUGCCCAUACUCGUGAACCGCGAACGCGGGGAGCGAGUGGGGGUCGCAGAGAAUCGGGGGUAGCGACUGUUUACCAAAAACACAGGACUCUGCUAAGUCGUAAGACGACGUAUAGGGUCUGACGCCUGCCCGGUGCCGGAAGGUUAACAGGAGAUGUCAGGAGCAAUCCAAAGCAUCGAAUCGAAGCCCCGGUAAACGGCGGCCGUAACUAUAACGGUCCUAAGGUAGCGAAAUUCCUUGGCGGGUAAGUUCCGUCCUGCACGAAUGGCGUAACGACUUCCCCACUGUCUCGACCCGGGACUCAGCGAAAUUGACCUGGGGGUGAAGAUGCCCCCAACCCGCGGAAAGACGGAAAGACCCUGUGCACCUUUACUGCAACUUGACACUGUUUUUCGGGCUGAUCUGUGUAGGAUAGGUGGGAGGCUUUGAAGCAGGGUCGCUAGAUUCUGUGGAGCCAACGUUGAAAUACCACCCUGGUAAGUCUGGAAAACUAACCGAGGUCCGUAAGCCGGAUCCGGGACAAUGUCUGGUGGGUAGUUUGACUGGGGCGGUCACCUCCGAAAGAGUAACGGAGGCGCACAAAGGUACCCUCAGGCCGAUUGGAAACCGGCCGUAGAGUGUAAAGGCAUAAGGGUGCUUGACUGCAACACAUACAAGUGGAGCAGGGACGAAAGUCGGUCUUAGUGAUCCGGUGGUUCUGUAUGGAAGGGCCAUCGCUCAACGGAUAAAAGGUACUCCGGGGAUAACAGGCUUAUCACGCCCAAGAGUUCACAUCGACGGCGUGGUUUGGCACCUCGAUGUCGGCUCAUCGCAUCCUGGGGCUGUAGUCGGUCCCAAGGGUUUGGCUGUUCGCCAAUUAAAGCGGUACGCGAGCUGGGUUCAGAACGUCGUGAGACAGUUCGGUCCCUAUCUUCCGUGGGCGCAGGAAUCUUGAGGAGAGCUGUCCCUAGUACGAGAGGACCGGGAUGGACGGACCCCUGGUGUUCCGGUUGUUCUGCCAAGAGCAUCGCCGGGUAGCCACGUCCGGAAUGGAUAACCGCUGAAAGCAUCUAAGCGGGAAGCCAACUCCAAGAUGAGGAUUCCCCGAAGGUUCGUCGUAGACUACGACGUUGAUAGGUCGGAUGUGGAAGUGCUGCAAGGCACGGAGCUAACCGAUACUAAUCGACCGUUCGGCUUGGCCAC